rnacentral:rRNA from 1 species
GACGAACGCUGGCGGCGUGCUUAACACAUGCAAGUCGAACGGAAAGGCCCUGCUUUUGUGGGGUGCUCGAUUGGCGAACGGGUGAGUAACACGUGAGUAACCUGCCCUUGACUUUGGGAUAACUUCAGGAAACUGGGGCUAAUAUCGGAUAGGAGCUCCUGCUGCAUGGUGGGGGUUGGAAAGUUUCGGCGUUUGGGGAUGGACUCGCGGCUUAUCAGCUUGUUGGUGGGGUAGUGGCUUACCAAGGCUUUGACGGGUAGCCGGCCUGAGAGGGUGACCGGCCACAUUGGGACUGAGAUAAGGCACAGACUCCUACGGGAGGCAGCAGUGGGGAAUAUUGCACAAUGAGCGGAAGCCUGAUGCAGCAACGCCGCGUGCGGGAUGACGGCCUUCGGGUUGUAAACCGCUUUCGCCUGUGACGAAGCGUGAGUGACGGUAAUGUGUAAAGAAGCACCGGCUAACUACGUG